ensembl:processed_transcript
UAGAGCCACAGAGGUAGAGCCUGGUCAGCAAACAGCUGUGAAGCACUGCAGCAGAGGGCUUUCCUGGCUACCUUCAUUUUUUAUAGCUCAAAUGAUGAUGUUAAUGUCCAGUAACCGAUACUGCAAAUCAGAUCCCUGGGUGACAUUUUUUGAGAGAGAAAAAAAUGAAGUGAACUUGAACUUUACCUUUUAAAAAUGUUAAUACCUAGGACUGGAGAGAUGGCUCAGCGGUUAAGAGCACUGACUGCUCUUCCAGAGGUCCUGAGUUCAAUUCCCAGCAACUACAUGGUGGCUCACAACCAUCUGUAAUGGGAUCUGAUGCCCUCUUCUGGUGUGUCUGAAGACAGCUACAGUGUACUAGUAAUAAAUAAAUCUUUUAAAAAGGGAAAAGGAAAGAAAAGAAGAGUAGAGAAAAAAAGAAAAGAAAUGCUUUACAAAAUAUCAAUACUUGACUGGCAUAGGACAACAUUUCAGAUGUGCAUUUAUUCCUGAGGUUGCUUAACUUUUUUUUAAAAAAGCUAUUCUGUAUUCUUUACAUUGGUGAAAUGAACACUGAUAAUUGAGACUUUCGAUCCAAUUGCCUUUAUUGCAUCACCAACCCAAAUCAGCACAUGGCUUGACUUUCCUGCAUGACAGUGAUCCUUGAGUCCUAAAGACUGACAUGAAAGAAAAAUCUAACGUCAGUAGAAUCAAGCGUUUGGACUUACACAGGAAUCAGACCCCAAACUCUUGCCCAAAAUGAACAAUUGAAAUUCCUGUUGAGGUUUUUAAAAGUCUCCACCGCCCCCUCAAGUGUUCUGCGUUUUACACAACUCAGCACUUCCAAACCAAGCCAGAAUGAGGAACCCUGAGUUCCCUGUGGUCGGCCAUUUCCCAAGUAUUCCAAACCCACGCCUGGACCAGGACACUCCAGGAAUCUCAUCAGCGCCUUGACCCCAGGAGGUUUCUAGUUCCAUUUCCAAACCAUAGAGGUUUGGAAAAGACCUCCCUGAACCUUCCAUCUGCCUCCUGCGCAUUGACAUGGUAGCAUCAAGCUCUCGCCUAAGACCCGACCGACAUGGUUUACUAUACUGCAGAGCUAACGUGCCAUGGACAGCAUUAGAAACUUGGCUGGGACCAGUCAAGAUGGUUCUGUUUAACAACCUAAUAAAUAUAUUGGAAUGAGCAAUGAAAGC